AGUGAACGCUGGCGGUAGGCCUAACACAUGCAAGUCGAACGGCAGCACAGUAAGAGCUUGCCCUUACUGGUGGCGAGUGGCGGACGGGUGAGGAAUACAUCGGAAUCUACUUUUUCGUGGGGGAUUACGUGGGGACACUUACGCUAAUACCGCAUACGACCUACGGGUGAAAGCAGAGGUUCUUCGGACCUUGCGCGAUUGAAUGAGCCGAUGUCGGAUUAGCUAGUUGGCUGGGUAAAGGCUCACCAAGGCGACGAUCCGUAGCAGGUCUGAGAGGAUGAUCAGCCACACUGGAACUGAGACACGGUCCAGACUCCUACGGGAGGCAGCAGUAGGGAAUAUUGGACAAUGGGCGCAAGCCUGAUCCAGCCAUACCGCGUGAGUGAAGAAGGCCUUCGGGUUGUAAAGCCCUGUUGUUGGGAAAGAACAGCAGCAGGUUAAAACCCCGCUGUUCUGACGGUACCCAAAGAAUAAGCACCGGCUAACUUCGUG
rnacentral:rRNA from 1 species